rnacentral:rRNA from 1 species
UACAGAGGGUGCGAGCGUUAAUCGGAAUUACUGGGCGUAAAGCGCGCGUAGGCGGCUUUGCAAGCGGGAGGUGAAAUCCCCGGGCUUAACCUGGGAACUGCAUUCGGGACUGCAUUGCUAGAGUAUGGGAGAGGGAAGUGGAAUUUCAGGUGUAGCGGUGAAAUGCGUAGAUAUCUGAAGGAACAUCAGUGGCGAAAGCGACUUCCUGGACCAAUACUGACGCUCAUGUGCGAAAGCGUGGGGAGCAAACAGG